AAGAAACAAGACACAUUUUGCGAGUUAUACCAACCCGUGGAGAGGAGAGAACUCGCAAGUGAUAACUUGCACAAGGAAGCAACAUGCACGUGCACACAACAAGGAAGCCAUGCGCACACACAAUGAUGAGCGAAUUCGCAAGUGCAUGAAAUCGUUCAAGUAAUAAAGUGAUAAGUAGAGUAUUGUCCCACAUGGAUUGCGUAUCAAGUAUAAAAAUUGUAGA
rnacentral:lncRNA from 1 species